UUUAGUUUCCUGUAAUGAUGACGACAUCGGUUUAUCGUCUGCUGCACUUAUCGGCAUCAUAGUUGGUUCAGUCUUUGUUGGUAUCAUAGCAACCGUUGCCGUGGUUUAUGUACGAUGUUACAAAGUAACGAAGAAUCGACGAACUGUGUCUGUGGGUGAUAUGAAUUCAAGCCAGGCGUACUUAUCAGCGGGCCCAGCUGGAGAAACAUGGGGUGGUGACAAACAUUAAAAU